GGGGAAAGAUCAAGUCGCAGCCGGCUUGGGUUGGUGUUGGGGCCGGUCGUGCGGGACGCUGAGGCUGUGAGGGCUUUCCCCGCUGCUUCCAGCUGACUCCAGUGUGAAGUGAGGUGCUUCCAACGGACUGCAGUGUGAAGUGAGCCAUCCUGCCUGAAACUCAAGAAAUAUAGAAUCCCUGGGAAUGUAAUGGGAUCUUCCCGACCCAGGAGUCGAACCCGGGUCUCCCGCCUUGUAGGCAGACACUUUACCCACUGAGCCACCAGGGAAGCCCCCUAAUAAUUAAUAGUGAAGGAA